CUGCUGUCUCAUAUCUCCCACCACCAUGUGCCAGCUGAUAGGGGAACUGUGACAUACCACACCCCCGUGGCCAGGAAGGGGGUCACAUGGACUGGUCUCAUCCAGAGCACUUUAAAGAAACUGAUAAGCUCUAUCUCAUUUAACUUGGCCUUUGGAAGACGCUUGUGGAAAUUUCUGCAAAGGAGGUGACAUCAGUUGUUGUCACAGCUGCUGUGUGCUUUAAAGAUCUCAGCAUGACUUCAUUUACAGAAAACUAUUCGCCUUGUUGAACUGUGGAGACCCUUUUUCUUAAAGAGAAACACAUAUGACCUUGUAUCUCUGUGAAUGUCAGCUUGUUGUCUGCUGGACCUCUAGUUUCUGUGAGUGGUUGGAAGAGAGAGAAGAGAGUUGCCUUGAUGUUGCUGAGUUAUCUCUUUCUGGUCUUACUGCUAUUAACUGACACAGAUGCCUGGGUGAGAAAACUCUUGCUGAGCCAAGACUGAAGCAGUGAAACACCAGGGAAUAUACAAAGCCAGCCAGCAGCAGGCAGGAACCCUCUCAGUUCCUGUCCUUUCCUUUAGUGGCAACAGGAAAUGGAAGAGUCUCUGGGAUACAUCCUCACUUUUCCUUUUCUUACCUUUAGUGUUGUUUUGGACAAUAAUAUAAUAGAAACCAUACAGGCCUCCAUCUCUGGUUGCUAGCUGUAUCACAGCAGUGUCUGUGAAGUGACACAGAGUCCUGAGUGCAGCUCAAUCUCCUGACUUCCUCCAUGUUACCUCCCUUACAUUAUGUCCUGAACAUGAGCCAGCAGCCAGGAGGGCCAAGUGUCUCCUGGGGAGCAUCAGGCACAGCAUCACCCAUACGAUGUCUGCUGGAGUAUUUACUCUCCCACCUGCAAGAUUUGCCACCAACAUAAAAUCUGAGAAGAUAUGAAAAGAUGCUGGUCUGAGGACCUUACAUUUCCUAAGAAGGAGGAACUCUGUACUGUCCCCAUUUAAUGGGAAGGACUUGGAUGCUGCACUAAGACUUAUCUCUUCACCUCUCACGA